rnacentral:rRNA from 1 species
GACGAACCGUGCGAACGUUGUUCGGAAUCACUGGGCUUAAAGGGUGAGUAGGCGGGCUGCCAAGUCUGGGGUGAAAUCCCACGGCUCAACCGUGGAACUGCCUCAGAUACUGGCGGCCUCGAGGAGGGUAGGGGCAUGCGGAACUAUGCGUGGAGCGGUGAAAUGCGUUGAUAUGCAUAGGAACUCCGGUGGCGAAGGCGGCGUGCUGGACCCUUUCUGACGCUGAAUCACGAAAGCCAGGGGAGCGAACGGG